rnacentral:rRNA from 1 species
AGCGUACACGGUGGAUGCCCUGGCAGUCAGAGGCGAUGAAGGACGUGCUAAUCUGCGAUAAGCGUCGGUAAGGUGAUAUGAACCGUUAUAACCGGCGAUUUCCGAAUGGGGAAACCCAGUGUGUUUCGACACACUAUCAUUAACUGAAUCCAUAGGUUAAUGAGGCGAACCGGGGGAACUGAAACAUCUAAGUACCCCGAGGAAAAGAAAUCAACCGAGAUUCCCCCAGUAGCGGCGAGCGAACGGGGAGCAGCCCAGAGCCUGAAUCAGUGUGUGUGUUAGUGGAAGCGUCUGGAAAGGCGCGCGAUACAGGGUGACAGCCCCGUACACAAAAAUGCACAUAUUGUGAGCUCGAUGAGUAGGGCGGGACACGUGGUAUCCUGUCUGAAUAUGGGGGGACCAUCCUCCAAGGCUAAAUACUCCUGACUGACCGAUAGUGAACCAGUACCGUGAGGGAAAGGCGAAAAGAACCCCGGCGAGGGGAGUGAAAAAGAACCUGAAACCGUGUACGUACAAGCAGUGGGAGCACGCUUAGGCGUGUGACUGCGUACCUUUUGUAUAAUGGGUCAGCGACUUAUAUUCUGUAGCAAGGUUAACCGAAUAGGGGAGCCGAAGGGAAACCGAGUCUUAACUGGGCGUUAAGUUGCAGGGUAUAGACCCGAAACCCGGUGAUCUAGCCAUGGGCAGGUUGAAGGUUGGGUAACACUAACUGGAGGACCGAACCGACUAAUGUUGAAAAAUUAGCGGAUGACUUGUGGCUGGGGGUGAAAGGCCAAUCAAACCGGGAGAUAGCUGGUUCUCCCCGAAAGCUAUUUAGGUAGCGCCUCGUGAAUUCAUCUCCGGGGGUAGAGCACUGUUUCGGCAAGGGGGUCAUCCCGACUUACCAACCCGAUGCAAACUGCGAAUACCGGAGAAUGUUAUCACGGGAGACACACGGCGGGUGCUAACGUCCGUCGUGAAGAGGGAAACAACCCAGACCGCCAGCUAAGGUCCCAAAGUCAUGGUUAAGUGGGAAACGAUGUGGGAAGGCCCAGACAGCCAGGAUGUUGGCUUAGAAGCAGCCAUCAUUUAAAGAAAGCGUAAUAGCUCACUGGUCGAGUCGGCCUGCGCGGAAGAUGUAACGGGGCUAAACCAUGCACCGAAGCUGCGGCAGCGACGCUUAUGCGUUGUUGGGUAGGGGAGCGUUCUGUAAGCCUGUGAAGGUGUGCUGUGAGGCAUGCUGGAGGUAUCAGAAGUGCGAAUGCUGACAUAAGUAACGAUAAAGCGGGUGAAAAGCCCGCUCGCCGGAAGACCAAGGGUUCCUGUCCAACGUUAAUCGGGGCAGGGUGAGUCGACCCCUAAGGCGAGGCCGAAAGGCGUAGUCGAUGGGAAACAGGUUAAUAUUCCUGUACUUGGUGUUACUGCGAAGGGGGGACGGAGAAGGCUAUGUUGGCCGGGCGACGGUUGUCCCGGUUUAAGCGUGUAGGCUGGUUUUCCAGGCAAAUCCGGAAAAUCAAGGCUGAGGCGUGAUGACGAGGCACUACGGUGCUGAAGCAACAAAUGCCCUGCUUCCAGGAAAAGCCUCUAAGCAUCAGGUAACAUCAAAUCGUACCCCAAACCGACACAGGUGGUCAGGUAGAGAAUACCAAGGCGCUUGAGAGAACUCGGGUGAAGGAACUAGGCAAAAUGGUGCCGUAACUUCGGGAGAAGGCACGCUGAUAUGUAGGUGAAGCGACUUGCUCGUGGAGCUGAAAUCAGUCGAAGAUACCAGCUGGCUGCAACUGUUUAUUAAAAACACAGCACUGUGCAAACACGAAAGUGGACGUAUACGGUGUGACGCCUGCCCGGUGCCGGAAGGUUAAUUGAUGGGGUCAGCGCAAGCGAAGCUCUUGAUCGAAGCCCCGGUAAACGGCGGCCGUAACUAUAACGGUCCUAAGGUAGCGAAAUUCCUUGUCGGGUAAGUUCCGACCUGCACGAAUGGCGUAAUGAUGGCCAGGCUGUCUCCACCCGAGACUCAGUGAAAUUGAACUCGCUGUGAAGAUGCAGUGUACCCGCGGCAAGACGGAAAGACCCCGUGAACCUUUACUAUAGCUUGACACUGAACAUUGAGCCUUGAUGUGUAGGAUAGGUGGGAGGCUUAGAAGUGUGGACGCCAGUCUGCAUGGAGCCGGCCUUGAAAUACCACCCUUUAAUGUUUGAUGUUCUAACGUGGACCCGUAAUCCGGGUUGCGGACAGUGUCUGGUGGGUAGUUUGACUGGGGCGGUCUCCUCCUAAAGAGUAACGGAGGAGCACGAAGGUUGGCUAAUCCUGGUCGGACAUCAGGAGGUUAGUGCAAUGGCAUAAGCCAGCUUGACUGCGAGCGUGACGGCGCGAGCAGGUGCGAAAGCAGGUCAUAGUGAUCCGGUGGUUCUGAAUGGAAGGGCCAUCGCUCAACGGAUAAAAGGUACUCCGGGGAUAACAGGCUGAUACCGCCCAAGAGUUCAUAUCGACGGCGGUGUUUGGCACCUCGAUGUCGGCUCAUCACAUCCUGGGGCUGAAGUAGGUCCCAAGGGUAUGGCUGUUCGCCAUUUAAAGUGGUACGCGAGCUGGGUUUAGAACGUCGUGAGACAGUUCGGUCCCUAUCUGCCGUGGGCGCUGGAGAACUGAGGGGGGCUGCUCCUAGUACGAGAGGACCGGAGUGGACGCAUCACUGGUGUUCGGGUUGUCAUGCCAAUGGCACUGCCCGGUAGCUAAAUGCGGAAGAGAUAAGUGCUGAAAGCAUCUAAGCACGAAACUUGCCCCGAGAUGAGUUCUCCCUGACUCCUUGA